GAUGAACGCUGACAGAAUGCUUAACACAUGCAAGUCAACUUGAACUUCGGUUUGGGUGGCGGACGGGUGAGUAACGCGUAAAGAACUUGCCUCACAGUUAGGGACAACAUUUGGAAACGAAUGCUAAUACCUGAUAUUAUGAUUUUAGGGCAUCCUAGAAUUAUGAAAGCUAUAUGCGCUGUGAGAGAGCUUUGCGUCCCAUUAGCUAGUUGGAGAGGUAACGGCUCACCAAGGCGAUGAUGGGUAGCCGGUCUGAGAGGGUGAACGGCCACAAGGGGACUGAGACACGGCCCUUACUCCUACGGGAGGCAGCAGUGGGGAAUAUUGGACAAUGGACCAAGAGUCUGAUCCAGCAAUUCUGUGUGCACGAUGAAGUUUUUCGGAAUGUAAAGUGCUUUCAGUUGGGAAGAAAAAAAUGACGGUACCAACAGAAGAAGAGACGGCUAAAUACGUG
rnacentral:rRNA from 1 species